UACUGGUGUGAUUGCAGUGAUGUUUACAACUAAUUGAUCACAACCAAUUAUAGAUUUCUUUAUUCCUUCUCCAUUUCCAGUGCUUUACUUGAGUAGCCUAAA
ensembl:misc_RNA Y_RNA Y RNA